UACGUAGGGAGCUAGCGUUGUCCGGAAUCAUUGGGCGUAAAGCGCGCGUAGGCGGCCCGGUAAGUCCGCUGUGAAAGUCAAAGGCUCAACCUUUGAAUGUCAGCGGAUACUGCCGGGCUAGAGUCCGGAAGAGGCGAGUGGAACUCCUGGUGUAGCGGUGGAAUGCGCAGAUAUCAGGAGGAACACCCGUGGCGAAGGCGGCUCUCUGGGACGGUACUGACGCUGAGACGCGAAAGCGUGGGGAGCGAACAGG
rnacentral:rRNA from 1 species